GGUGGAGGUGGUCCACCAUAAUAGCAAGGCCCCCCACCAACGCCAUGAUAGCAUUCCGUGCAACAGCAUCCGAUGGGGGGAUAAGCCAUUGGUGGUGGAGGACAAGGUUCUGGAACCUUUGGUGGUGGUGGUGGUGGUGGUUCUUUUGGUUUCUCAGGUUCCUUAGGCUUUUCGGGUUCUUUCGGCUUUUCGGGUUGUUUCGGUUUCUCGGGUUCUUUGGGUUUUUCGGGUUCUUUCGGCUUUUCGGGUUGUUUAGGUUUCUCGGGUUCUUUGGGUUUUUCGGGUUCUUUUGGUUUUUCUGGUGCUUUAGGCUUUUCGGGUUCUUUUGGUUUUUCUGGUACUUUAGGCUUCUCAGGUUCUUUGGGUUUUUCAGGUUCUUUGGGCUUUUCGGGUUCUUUAGGCUUCUCAGGCUCCUUGGGUUUGGGAGGAGGAGGUGGAGGUUUGAUCUCAAUGCUCUUGAUUGAUCCAGCACCCUUGCAACAUAUCUUGUCCCUCAGCUUCUCAGGAUUGCAGCAUACCACGGUAAUGGUCACGGUGUUGGUUUUCUCAUCGUAUAUCUGGUCUCGUAUUUCUCUU
rnacentral:lncRNA from 1 species